AACGAACGCUGGCGGCAGGCUUAACACAUGCAAGUCGAGCGCCUCGCAAGGGGAGCGGCAGACGGGUGAGUAACGCGUGGGAAUCUACCCUUUUCUACGGAAUAACGCAGGGAAACUUGUGCUAAUACCGUAUGUGUCCUUCGGGAGAAAGAUUUAUCGGGAAAGGAUGAGCCCGCGUUGGAUUAGCUAGUUGGUGGGGUAAAGGCCUACCAAGGCGACGAUCCAUAGCUGGUCUGAGAGGAUGAUCAGCCACAUUGGGACUGAGACACGGCCCAAACUCCUACGGGAGGCAGCAGUGGGGAAUAUUGGACAAUGGGCGCAAGCCUGAUCCAGCCAUGCCGCGUGAGUGAUGAAGGCCCUAGGGUUGUAAAGCUCUUUCACCGGAGAAGAUAAUGACGGUAUCCGGAGAAGAAGCCCCGGCUAACUUCGUGCCAGCAGCCGCCG
rnacentral:rRNA from 1 species